GGAGAGGUGCUCGAGUGGCUGAAGAGGUACGCCUGGAAAGCGUAUAGGCGGGUAACCGUCUCGAGGGUUCGAAUCCCUCUCUCUCCG
rfam:Lewinella sp. 4G2 scaffold2_cov53_read170, whole genome shotgun sequence.